ensembl:processed_transcript RIKEN cDNA 1810019D21 gene
GCCUGAGCUUUGACCCACACCCCAUCGACCAACUGGCACUGAACUGUUUGCUCGUAGAGGGGGGUGGGUGGCACUCUGAAGGCUAUCCAGCACGAUCAUGCCCUUUCCCUUGGCAAUUCUGUGACACUUUCCAAUCUAAGGUCGACAGAGCAAGGCAACCAGAUUUUUUUCUACAGCACCCUCCCAGCAGGCACUCUGAGUCCUCCGCAAAAGAAUGUGCAGGAUCAGAGGCCUCUUUCCAUUCUGCAAGGGUCACGCAAGACCCAUGGAAUUCAACAAGAGGCAAUCUAGGGACUAUAAAAGGUCGCGACGUUUGGCUUGAGGUUAAUGGAAGUUACAAAGGGUCAAAAGCCGACAGUGAGCGCUACCAGGUGUCGGGUCGGCAGUGCAAGGCGCAAGUUACUGUGGACCUGAAGGCUCAGGCCUUGGUGCCAAGGCCGCCCUGUGGGCUCAGGAUAGUUUCCCACCUACUCGACUGUAAUUAGUACUCUGGCGAGAGU